UACGUAGGGUGCAAGCGUUGUCCGGAAUUAUUGGGCGUAAAGAGCUCGUAGGCGGUUUGUCGCGUCGGCUGUGAAAACCUAGGGCUCAACUCUGGGCUUGCAGCCGAUACGGGCAAACUAGAAUUCGGUAGGGGAGACUGGAAUUCCUGGUGUAGCGGUGAAAUGCGCAGAUAUCAGGAGGAACACCGGUGGCGAAGGCGGGUCUCUGGGCCGAUAUUGACGCUGAGGAGCGAAAGCGUGGGGAGCGAACAGG
rnacentral:rRNA from 1 species